rnacentral:tRNA from 1 species
AGGAGACCUACUAACCCAUAGACUGAAAGCGAAUUUGCGAAUAGGUCAUGAGGUGUAGUCACCUAAGGUCGUUGAGGGUCUGUUAAUACUGCCUCUUCAUAAGCUGCCAGGUUAGAGAUAACUAAGUAGUUGAAGAAAAGGACUUCUUUGAAUUAUUCAGUCUAAGUGUGGAAUUAAGUACACCAGAAUGCGGGCUAUUAGCUCAGGUGGUUAGAGCGCACCCCUGAUAAGGGUGAGGUCCCUGGUUCGAGUCCAGGAUGGCCCACUUUCAUAACGUGGCUAAAUUAGUCAAUGAAUGGGGGUAUAGCUCAGUUGGUAGAGCGCCUGCUUUGCAAGCAGGAUGUCAGCGGUUCGAGUCCGCUUACCUCCACCACUAUUUUUAGAGUUGAAUAAACAUCAGCACCUAGAGAUGUCCUUGCAAAGAUUGUAGACAUCAUAGAUUGCUGGUCUUUAUAGACUAGCGAGAACCUUGACAACUGCAUAGAAGAAAGAAAGCAAAGGUAGUUCGAGUGUCAGAACAGACAUUUGAAAGAAACAAAAAGCCCGACUGUUCUUAGUUAGCCGAAUGACACUAGCAAUAGUGUUUCGAGGUUGAAUGAGAAUGGUCUAGCAAAAAAGAUCUUUUAUAUCCAAGAAAGGUCAAGCUACAAAGGGCUCACGGUGGAUACCUAG